UACGGGGGGGGCAAGCGUUGUUCGGAAUUACUGGGCGUAAAGGGCUCGUAGGCGGCCAACUAAGUCGGAUGUGAAAUCCCCAAGCUUAACUUGGGAACUGCAUCCGAUACUGGAUGGCUUGAAUCCGGGAGAGGGAUGCAGAAUUCCAGGUGUAGCGGUGAAAUGCGUAGAUAUCAGGAGGAACACCGGUGGCGAAGGCGGGUCUCUGGGCCGAAAUUGACGCUGAGGAGCGAAAGCGUGGGGAGCAAACAGG
rnacentral:rRNA from 1 species